UACGUAGGGUGCGAGCGUUAAUCGGAAUUACUGGGCGUAAAGCGUGCGCAGGCGGUUAGCCGUGUCCGAUGUGAAAGCCCCGGGCUCAACCUGGGAAUGGCAUUGGAAACUGGCUGGCUGGAGUGUGGCAGAGGGGGGGUGGAAUUCCACGUGUAGCAGUGAAAUGCGUAGAGAUGUGGAGGAACACCGAUGGGCGAAGGCAGCCCCCCUGGGCCAACACUGACGCUCAGGCACGAAAGCGUGGGGAGCAAACAGG
rnacentral:rRNA from 1 species